rnacentral:lncRNA from 1 species
GAGGAGGGAGGGAGAGAGCUAUGAAGCGCUGAAGGCUUUGUAGAGUUGUAAUGUAAAAAUGUUCGGACUGAACUGGGAAAGACAAAAGAAUGACAGACAAUUCCAGUAAGCCAGUUGACAACAAGUUCUCAUUUACAACUGAGACCUGGCCAAGGAUAAAGCAAAGCCGUGCGACAAAAAACAACAACACAGAGUACACAUGGGCUAAACAAAGCUCCAUGGCAUAGCGAUUGGUCUCUGCUAUGUCUCCCACCAGCUCCACUGUCAGAAACAACUUGAAGCACUCCGCCUCAGAUGGAAAUGGCAACAGGCGUUGCACUCCAGAGUGGGACUCAUCAAAGCAAACAGCAGGGCCAGGAGAGGUGAAAUGGCUGGCAGCCUUCCAGCUACCACAGAACUCCUGUACGUCAUCCACUGUCGGUCUGCCUCCAUCACCACCAGCAUCUUCAAAGGGAACUGGGACUUUGUCAGUGGACAAGGGGUCCUCAGAUUCAGGGUUCUCAAUGGCUGGGGGGCAGCUCCUCACUGUCACUGUCAGAAUCUGAUUCCUGACUUUCAGACAUUGUCAGAAUUUUUUAACAUCUCCAGAAUUUCUGCAUUUGUGAGUUGUCUCCUUUUGAAAGACUUUGCUAAUGCUACGGCUUAGCUCACUAGUUACAUACAUAAACAGCAACACUGAAUGGCUCAGAGUGGGAGUGAGAGGUUACGUGAUUGACUGCCUGCACACGCCAUUUGUAUCAAUAAAUCACUAUCAGAAAAUGUUUUGUGUGGUAAUUAUUGAUAUAUUUACUGUUUUCUUCCCAUGUUUUUCAAGUACCGGUGAUAAAUAAUGCAUUCCGAUUCUUGCAUAGAUUGUAAUGGGC